GAUGAACGCUGGCGGCGUGCCUAAUACAUGCAAGUCGAACGGAAAGGCCUCUUCGGAGGUACUCGAGUGGCGGACGGCUGAGUAGCGCGUAGGAAUGUACCCCAAAGUGAGGAAUAACUCCGAGAAAUCGGAGCUAAUACCGCAUGUGCUCUAAGGAGUAAAGCUUCGGCGCUUUGGGAACAGCCUGCGUAUGAUUAGCUUGUUGGUGAGGUAAUGGCUCACCAAGGCGUCGACGGGUAGCCGGCCUGAGAGGGUGACCGGCCACACUGGGACAGAGACACGGCCGAGACUCCUACGGGAGGCAGCAGUGGGGAAUAGUGCACAAUGGGCGCAAGCCUGAUGCAGCAACGCCGCGUGCGGGAUGACGGCCUUCGGGUUGUAAACCGCUUUUAGUAGGGAAGAAGCCUUCGGGUGACGGUACCUGCAGAAAAAGGACCGGCUAACUACGUGCCAGCAGCCGCGGUAACAC
rnacentral:rRNA from 1 species